rnacentral:rRNA from 1 species
AGUGAACGCUGGCGGUAGACCUAACACAUGCAAGUCGAACGGCAGCACAGUAAGAGCUUGCUCUUACGGGUGGCGAGUGGCGGACGGGUAAGGAAUACAUCGGAAUCUACUUUUUCGUGGGGGAUAACGUAGGGAAACUUACGCUAAUACCGCAUACGACCUACGGGUGAAAGCAGGGGAUCUUCGGACCUUGCGCGAUUGAAUGAGCCGAUGUCGGAUUAGCUAGUUGGCGGGGUAAAGGCCCACCAAGGCGACGAUCCGUAGCUGGUCUGAGAGGAUGAUCAGCCACACUGGAACUGAGACACGGUCCAGACUCCUACGGGAGGCAGCAGUGGGGAAUAUUGGACAAAGGGCGCAAGCCUGAUCCAGCCAUACCGCGUGGGUGAAGAAGGCCUUCGGGUUGUAAAGCCCUUUUGUUGGGAAAGAAAAGCAGCAGGUUAAUACCCCGCUGUUCUGACGGUACCCAAAGAAUAAGCACCGGCUAACUUCGUG